rnacentral:rRNA from 1 species
AUGGGAUGUACUCUCAAAAUGGAAGACGCGAUGCUCGCUCUGCCAGGUAGCUAUGGGUCCAAAGUGUGCAUAACUCUUGCUAACCUGGACAUACUGUCUUCUAGAAACAGGAUUGUUGGUGUUGAGCUGUUGAUCACUCUAUUGAGUGGAUUGCUGAAAGAGGGCGCCGGUUGGAGUCGGUUGAAGACAACGGUGCAUAAAACACAUGGGCCUGCUCUUAAUCUCAGGACGCCAUGGGAGAAAGCGCGUGACCUUCUAGUAUUCUUGAAUAGUGGAGAUGAUUCUUUAUUCACCAUGGAAGAUUUGUGCUAA